rnacentral:rRNA from 1 species
GAUGAACGCUGGCGGCGUGCCUAAUACAUGCAAGUCGAGCGAACAGACGAGGAGCUUGCUCCUCUGACGUUAGCGGCGGACGGGUGAGUAACACGUGGAUAACCUACCUAUAAGACUGGGAUAACUUCGGGAAACCGGAGCUAAUGCCGGAUAACAUGUUGAACCGCAUGGUUCAACAGUGAAAGACGGUUUUGCUGUCACUUAUAGAUGGAUCCGCGUCGCAUUAGCUAGUUGGUAAGGUAACGGCUUACCAAGGCAACGAUGCGUAGCCGACCUGAGAGGGUGAUCGGCCACACUGGAACUGAGACACGGUCCAGACUCCUACGGGAGGCAGCAGUAGGGAAUCUUCCGCAAUGGGCGAAAGCCUGACGGAGCAACGCCGCGUGAGUGAAGAAGGUCUUCGGAUCGUAAAACUCUGUUAUUAGGGAAGAACAAAUGUGUAAGUAACUAUGCACGUCUUGACGGUACCUAAUCAGAAAGCCACGGCUAACUACGUG